GCGCGGUGCGGCAGCCUACCAUGCAAGUCGAACGAAGUAGCAAUACUUAGUGGCAGACGGGUGAGUAACAUGUGGGUAUCUGCCCUUUGGCCUGGAAUAACACGAGGAAACUUGUGCUAAUACCGGAUAAGUCUUUACGGAGAAAGCUUUAUGCACCAUUGGAUGAGCCCGCACUUGAUUAGUUUGUUGGUAGGGUAAUGGCCUACCAAGACUGUGAUCAAUAGCUGAUUUGAGAGGAUGAUCAGCCACAUUGGGACUGAGACACGGCCCAAACUCCUACGGGAGGCAGCAGUGGGGAAUCUUGCACAAUGGAGGAAACUCUGAUGCAGCGAUGCCGCGUGAGUGAAGAAGGCCCUUGGGUUGUAAAGCUCUUUCGUCGGGGAAGAAAAUGACUGUACCCGAAUAAGAAGGUCCGGCUAACUUCGUGCCAGCAGCCGCGGUAAUACGAAGGGACCUAGCGUAGUUCGGAAUUACUGGGCUUAAAGAGUUCGUAGGUGGUUGAAAAAGUUGGUGGUGAAAUCCCAGAGCUUAACUCUGGAACUGCCAUCAAAACUUUUCAGCUAGAGUUUGAUAGAGGAAAGCAGAAUUUCUAGUGUAGAGGUGAAAUUCGUAGAUAUUAGAAAGAAUACCAAUUGCGAAGGCAGCUUUCUGGAUCAUUACUGACACUGAGGAACGAAAGCAUGGGUAGCGAAGAGGAUUAGAUACCCUCGUAGUCCAUGCCGUAAACGAUGUGUGUUAGACGUUGGAAAUUUAUUUUCAGUGUCGCAGCGAAAGCGAUAAACACACCACCUGGGGAGUACGACCGCAAGGUUAAAACUCAAAUGAAUUGACGGGGACCCGCACAAGUAGUGGAGCAUGUGGUUUAAUUCGAAGAUACGCGCAGAACCUUACCAACACUUGACAUGUUCGUCGCGACUUUAAGAGAUUAAAGUUUUCGGUUCGGCCGGACGAAACACAGGUGCUGCAUGGCUGUCGUCAGCUCGUGUCGUGAGAUGUUGGGUUAAGUCCCGCAACGAGCGCAACCCUCACUUUUAGUUGCCAUCAUUUAGUUGGGCACUCUGAAAGAACUGCCAGUGAUAAGCUGGAGGAAGGUGGGGAUGACGUCAAGUCCUCAUGGCCCUUACGUGUUGGGCUACACACGUGCUACAAUGGUAUUUACAACAGGAAGCAAGACGGCGACGUUAAGCAAAUCCUUAAAAGAUACCUCAGUUCGGAUUGCACUCUGCGACUCGAGUGCAUGAAGCUGGAAUUACUAGUAAUCGUGGAUCAGCGUGCCACGGUGAAUGCGUUCCCGGGUCUUGUACACACCGCCCGUCACACCAUGGGAGUUGGUUCUACCUUAAGGCAAGGUUUAAUACCCCUGACCCACGGUAAUCAGGAGG
rnacentral:rRNA from 1 species